UGGGGGAUUAUCAAUUGAAUGACUAACUUUAUUUGGGUAAUAAAGUGGAGAAAAUAAGAAAGGUAAGGAGCAAAGGGAGGCGGCCGGUUUUGACUAGCUUUUGGGAUUAAUUUGUGUGACUUAUUUGAUAUAAUAGGUGAUUAAAUUGGUGAUUAAUGGAUUAAUUAGGAAUUAAUCCAUUAAUUAGCCAAUUAAUCUCUAUUUAUAUGAAAUAAUUUAUAGGUUAUGAAGUAAUUACCUAAGAUGAGGAUGGAUGAGAUAACUUUGAAUUUGUUACCUUUUUUGGGCACUUUUGACUUGGUUUAUGGAUGAUUGUCCGCUGCUCAAGUGUAGGAAUCCCAGUAUGCCUCAAGGGUAUUUUUGUCCUCUUUUACCCAAGAAUCCAUGUGUCGCCUUGUAAUUAUUUUUGGCUCCACAAAUGCCCCUACACCUGUUGGGGUGCUCGCAGGAAAGGGCAACAUGUGUAGAGAUUUUCUCACUUUAGGAAACUCUGAAUUGCUUCCUAUUUUGUUGUUGAUUCUCUCUUUUAAUAGGAAAUUAGGUCCUUCUAAGAAAAGGAAAUAAAUUUCUCUCAAAGCCUAUUUAAGUCCACCUUAAGUGGGUUAUUAAAUCAAUUUUGGAGAGCGAUUUAUUCUACCCUACAAGAGAGCGAGAGAGAGAGCUUAGAGGAUAUUUGUUCCCCCUCCUCUAGCAAUCUUCUACAUCUUGCCCGUGCAAAGGACCAUCUUUCUUUGAUUUCUUCGUCUUCUCCGUGCUGCACCGAUGUAAGAAAAAAUUAAUUUUUUUCUUGUCUUCUUUUUGGAUAGUGCUAUUGCGGGGCAGCCGUCGGGGUGGUGUGGCACGUCGGCUGGCAAGGGCCAGGAGUCAGCUCGGCAUGGGCCGAUGAGGCAUCGUGGAAGGGGCCAUUACUUGGGUUGUUUGGCUUGGCUAAAGCCAAAAGGCAACUUGUGCGAUCGGGCCAUGGAUUGUGGCGCUGGGGCGCAAUGCUAGGCUAGUCACAUGGCUCAUGUCUUUUGGGCUCUUGGACCUUACUCAGGCCAGGCUGGCGACUGAAAGAAAUGAGGAGGUUGUGGGCCUCAUGGGUUGCUGGAAUGCUGGGCAUGCAGGCCUCCUACCUACUAGAAUGUUGGGUUGAUCUCCUCUGCUAAGUACCAUGAAUGGCAUUGGCUGCUUAGUUCUCUUCGUUGAAAGUAAGGUGGACUGCUCCCAAAGAUGAGGUAAAAAGGAUCAAGGCGGAUGCAUUGGCUCAUCUGAUCAUUGUCGUGGAGCUUACUAUGAAUAAAGGUUGAAAGAAGAGAUCUUCAUUGCCUAUUCAAGAGAUGUCGGUUGAGAAAAAAUUGAAGAAUUCAUCCACUGCUCAUGAUGAUCUGCCUGCUGUCGAAAGGCUUGUGAUUGGAAUGACUUCUUCUGAUGGGAAGAAAAAUAAGGCUACUAGAUCUGAGCAUGUGGCGUCUUCCAUGUUGAGAAUGGCUAGUGCAAUUGUUGAUAAGAUUGCUCAGCGUAAAGGUUUUAUCAUGCCCCUAGUGCCGAAUUCUGUACCAGGACGUUCUUUAGGAGCCAAGUCUAGUUUAUCUUUGUAGAGACUUGCUAUUAUGAAGAGUGGUAAGAUGGACUCUGCUAAAGUGGCGCCAAUGCCUACUCACUUUACUGCUGAGACUGAUUCGCCUGCUGGGAAGGAAGAUAUUGCUCGCGUGAGCAGCUGUGAGAAAUCCACUAAGCCUUCUUCUAGGGAGGCUGCUGAGAUCUGUGUGCUUUUAAAACUAGAUCUGCUUGAAGUUAUGGACGUUUGUGCCAAGUAUGUGAUAGCGGUAAAAAGGUUGUUUGCCCAAGUUCCUUUGCGAAACAUACGACCCAAUAUAGAAUGACUGCUCUGCUUACUAUGAUGCAUAUAUAGCAAGGCUGUCAAAAAGGUGGCGAAAAUUAUGGUAGCUGAAGCUUAUUCCUCAGCUAAGGAGAUCAAGAGGUUGGAUUCUGAGCUUGUUGCUUUGAAGGGGUCUAAUAUUUCUGCCCCCACUUCUCUGUAGCUUGAGACCGCUCGCCACAAGAUCGUUAGCUUGAAGAGUAGGCUUGACGUGAUCCAAGUUAAGUAUGAAAGUACAGAGAAGGAGAUUGAAUGUUACAAUACCUCAGAUUCAAGAUCUUGAGUUUGCAGUUUCUGAGCUUCGUUUCGCUGCUUAUGCAAAGGAUGAAAAGUUGAUUGCUGCUUAUGCUAAAAAGGGAGUGGAUGAGCUGCAGCGCAUCCAUGUUAGUCUGCUUGAGAAAAAUGAGCAGCUGAAGGGUGAGAAUGAUGGGCUUAAGGUUUCAAGACCUUCUCUAUUUCUCCGGAAGACCUCCUUGCUUUUACUUUUAAGGCUUCCAUUGGUGAAGUAGUUGGAGAAAUUAGUGCUUAGGUUGGGGUAGCCGGGGGUGAAGCGCCGGAUGAUGCCGUUGCUAAGAGCGUUACGGCUGCUGAAGGUGUGGCGACCGAGUAGUUGUGGGAUGUCCAAGUUACUAUAGUGUAGUAUUUUAGGUAGCCUUUAGGAUUUUCUUUGUUUUUCCUUGUAACUCUUGUUUUGCUUGAACUCCUUCGGCUUUUGCUAGUUGUUUAUAAACAUGUUUUCCUUCGCUUUUCUUCAUCUUCGCUUCUUUUGUUCAUGCCCUAACCUUUAGACUUGAUAGACCAGUGGUAGGUAUGCUACUUUUUUAUAAGCAGACAAGCUCACGUAGCCUAUGCAGCUGUAUAUGUUAGUGUAGAACUUUGCAAAGUUGUUAGCCAUAGGGUUUGCAACUGGAUGCCUUACUUACAGAAGCAAACAAGUAUGCGUAACCACUAGGCUGUUAACCUUGACUUUCUCCAAUUCCAUAGGCUGCGUAACAAGUAUCACAACAUUUUAGGACUUGGUGUAGGUUGCUGCGCGCUUGGCAGAGGUGAAGCUUAUCGACUACGUAGCAUGUCGGCAAUGGAUAAAACUUUGUAUAUGCGCGCUAGCUUGUUUAACUUUUCACAAAAAUGUGCAGUUGUAUAAGUCUAGCGCGGCUUUACUGCUCGAAAGGCAAGUCGUAGGCAGUCUUCCGGAAUUCGUAGGCUAUCUUAGUGCACUCGGUAGCAGCUUUAGGGUUCUAGGGUAGCCGUCUGUAGGGCGUACUGCGUAACCUUAGUGCACUCGGUAGCAGCUUUAGGGUUCCAGGGUAGCCGUCUGUAAGGCGUACUACAUAAUGUGCCCCUUCUGUCUUUAGGGCCCGGUUCCCCGCAGAUUAGGCCAAGAGACCCAAAAUCCUUCAGUUAGCUAAGCCUUGAAAAAGACCAUUAUGGCUAAUUUUAGGAAUCCCGGCGUAAGCCAUUGUGCAUCUAGUUAUACUAGGGCAGCCAGGCUCAUCCACAUCUGGAUAUUUAUAGUGUAAAGUUUAUCCUCUCGUCUUGGAGAGCUGACCCAUAUGGGUGUCGGGGAAUUGGUUUACCUUCUCGCACUGGAGAGCAAUUAGUUUACCUUCUCGCACUGGAGAACAUGGUUGGUCCCUCGGGGGGGUGCAAUUCCUGUGAUGGGUCCCUAAAAAUGGUGCAAUCUUCUUUUGAAGUGCCGAAGUGAUCAGUUGUUGUAAGCAUGCAGCCGAGCCAAGUUGUGAUUACAUCUGAAUUCCUUAUUGAAAAACGAGUGAAAUGAACAAGAACUUAACUGUAAGGUAGGAACUGCAUAACAACUGGAUAGUCAUUGACUUGUGAAGUGGUGCCCGUCGAGCUUCUUGAGUCUUCGGGCUUUGAUGUAGUAGGAGGUCACACAUGGUACUUCUUCAGAUUGUAGGCACUCUACUACUUUUCAAUCUUUUUAUCGUUUCAUGGUGGUGAGGGUGUAAUUACUCUUGCCGCCUAUUCUGCUGAUCUUGUACGGACCUUCCCAGAUGAUAUCCAUCAUUUUGGAGCCUUCUUUGUAGGCAAUGAUGAAGGCUUUUCUUAGGACUAGAUCUUUGGGCUGGAACUACCAGAUUUUUUCCCUUUUGUUGUUGCUGGAAAUGAACUGCUGCUGAUAAGCUGCGAUGCGGGUGAUAGUCUGCCGCACUUCUCCUUUGCCAGAUUUAAGCUUGUCGCCAUUUCCUUUCGGUUGCUCAUCUUUUGGUGGUGCGAUAUGCCCAUAGACAUCCAGGGAGUUCGUCUGGCCAUUUUCUUUUCAUACUGGUGGUGGAUUUCUUGUGGCAGUCGAGGAUCAUCUUGGUAGAUACUUUGGCCCGCCUAUUGCCUUGAGAAUAUCUUGGCGUAGACAUGUGCUGCUUGAUGCCAUAUUUUUGGAAAAACUUUGCCAAAUCUUUGCCCACGAAUUGCGGGCCAUUGUUGGUGACGAUGGAUUAAGGGAUGCCAAAUUGGUAAAUGAUGUUCCUCCAUAUGAAGCGUUCUAUGUCCGUCUGAAUCAUGGUCGUCAUGGGCUCUGCUUCUACCUAUUUAGUGAAGUAGUCGGUUACCAUGAUCAUCAUGCCUUUGCUCCUAGUAGUCUAGCUGGUGAUUAGCUAAGAAUUGGAAUGAAUUGAAAGCUUUUUCACCACCAAGUCUUUUUUCAUUCGAAGGCCUGCUAGUGGGGCUUCAUACUCUGCUUCGUUGUUAGAUGCUUUAAAACCUAGAAUGAUUGCCUAAUCGGGCAUCGAACCGCCUGGGUUGACAAGGACCACGUCUAUUCCUGAACCUUUAUAGUUGGAUGUGCUGUCGACAAGCAAAUGCCAGAAGUCUCCAUUGGAUGGAGCGGGUGCGGCUGAAAUGUGCUCAGCUACCUUUGGGGCGUCAUUAAGCCGCUCUGUUACGUUGUCAAGGCUAGGCGUGAAGGCGCGGUAUGGAGCCGUGGAACAUGGGCUAUGUUACAUGUGGCAGGAGAUGCUCAACUACAGGUAUUGGGCCACUCUAGAGCUGAAUAAUGGAGCAAGGGUCAGCUAGGGUCGUGUGACGCGCAGCAGGAGGUAGUGCUCAACUGCCGGUACAUGUUGCUCUUAUGUAGAAUCUUCUGGGGCGACAAGGACAAAAAUUCCUUCUGAGUGUUCCUUCUAGUGUUCGUCUGCCAUUGGCGUGUCUUUUGGGCCAAGUUGUUGUGUUCGUCAGAAAACUUUGCAUCCGCCAAGGUCUAGACCUUUAUUGUCGCCCGUCUGGAUUUGGCGGAAUAGUGCGUCAUGAUGAUGAUUGCGUGCAUUUGAAGAUAAAACUUGAGUUUUCAGGUUACAACAACUAUUGCCAAAGUUAACUUUUGAAUUUCUAAUAGCAUCGAGGAAAACUUUUGAACUAUAGGAUACAGGUAGUCUGGCCUCCAGCUAUUCUCGCAUGAUGAUAGAGCUUAUUGCUACUCUAGAUACCGUCAAACACGUGAAUAAGUCAUCCGCUGCUUUCAGUUUGGAUAGUAGGGAGGUGACUUCGAGUACUUCUUCAAGUCUUUGAAUGUGCAUUGGUGAGCCUCGUCCCAAAGUGCAUGUUUUUUUGCCAGAGCGAAAGAGUCUGCCAGAGUUAGAUCUUCUUUCAUGAUCAAUUUUCCAAAUAGCGGGUGGUCUGCUGGAAGUCCUUUUUGGAAGGCUGCUCUAACUAUUGAGUCGUUGCAUCCGGCUAUCCUUGCCUUCUCUGCUUUGAACCUCCUCACAUAGUCGCAAAGCGACUCCUUUGAGUUCUUCUUGACAUCGAACAAAUGGUCGGACUUCUUUUUGAUCGAGUGAUAGGAUGAAUAUUCUUUGGUGAAAACCAAAGAAAGUUUAUCAAAAUUCUGGAUGAAUUGUGGCGGUAGGGUGUAUAACCCAUCUUGUGCCUUACCUUGUAGAGUGGUGGUGAAUAUCUUGCAUAUGAGAUCAUCGUUGUCUCGAUAGAGGAUCAUUGCACUUCGGUAGUGCUUUAAGUGUCUCUCCGGGUCUUCAUCCCCUUUGAAAGAUGUGAAAUGUGGCAUGCUGAACUCGCAUGGAGGCUCUGCCUGCUCGAUCUUGUCCGUGAAGGGUGACGUGUUUAUAUUAGUCAUGUUCCGUCGUAGUGCCUCAUCGGUGACCUCAUUGUGUUGGAAAUUGCGCAAUCGCUUGGUCAAGAGUCUCUAUACUUCUUCCUGAAUUUGCCUUUGUUAGGGUAGCGGAGCUCUCGGCUGCCCCCAGUCGGGACUUACUGGUCUAGGCUGUUCUUCCAUAUGUUUGGCUCGUCUAUGUCGCAGAUGUGGUACAUGUAGCGGGUUCCUAGCAGGUGAGCAAGUUCUUCGCAGGCUACCGGUUAAACUUGAACCGUAUUUAGUAAAUGCUUAUCUCCGUCCGUCGUGGUGCCUAUUCCGAUGUGAGGUGGAUGAUGCUCCUUACGAUCUUAACCGCAAAUGAACACUUCACCUGGAAGGCUGCUUAUGUUGACUAUCGGAGUGUGACCCCAACCGUGAAUGUAUGUUCGUUUGUGGGCCUAGUCGAGAGUGCACACUUGUCCGGCUCUAAGACGAGAAUAUACGCUAUCUCAGGGGCCCAAUCGGGAGUGUACACUCAUUGAACGCUCAGUUCGUGGUUGGUCAAGUGGCUGCUUACCAGGACACUGCUGGAGAGGUUCUUUGUCUGCCCUUAUCCUACUUCGGGAUAUUUCAUCUAGGGCACAUUGCAUCUCGGUGCGCUGCAAGAGCUAGUUCACCAAGGUUGUCUGCUGUGCGAGGGCGCUCGUCAACUCAAUGACUUGUCGAGACAAGUGUCGUUCUCCAUUUGAGUUGGAAGAGCUUGGAAGAAAUGUUUCUCCUUGAGUAUUGGAAGUGUGGUAGACUCCGGGUGCGAGAUUUGAGGUGGGAAAUGUCAAAUCCGUGAAAAAAUAUGGUGAGAAUGCCCUCGGCUCGAUGGUAGGUCUGGAUAGUUAAGAUAGUCUUGGGCCGACUUGGGCUGCUUGGAAAGCUAUGGGAGCAGACUGGGCCAUGGGAGCAAGUUGAGCCAUGAUAGCAGGCUGGGCUGCAAGAGUGGGCUGUUCGUCGGGAGCAGGAUGGACUACAGGAAUGGGCUGCUCAUCGGAAGUAAGCUGCUUAGUAGGAGCAGGCUGGGCUACGAGAGUGGGCUGCUCGGCGGAAGCAGGCUGGGCUACGAGAGUGGGCUGCUCAUCGGGAAUAGGCUGGACCACGGGAGUGGGCUACUCGUCGGGAGUAGGCUGCUCAGCGCGUGAUGCAUGCAAAUACGAUGCUUGAGCUUAGACUCGUGCAAGCUUAAAUGGCACGGCUUGGACUAUGGUGGAACCUCGUAGUGGUGGUAACACUUCACCUAUGACCACAUUUAGCCUCGUGGAUCGCCGCGGUCCCAUUUCUUGAGUAUUAGAAUUUUCACUUGUGGAAUUUUCUAAAUUUCUAGCCAUUAUAUUUUUCUUAUAGAUUUUAUCAAAGAACCUUUGCAAAUAAAAAAUUCUAAUAAUAAGAACGUAUGAAAAAUAUUCAAAUGGACUAGAAAAUAGAGAAAAACCUUUUAUGCGAGAGUCUUCUACGAGUAUGGAUCUCAACUUUCAAUGAAACCACCAAUUUGUGGAUGCAAAUUUCUUCCUCCUUGAUCUUGGACAAUUUUGCACCUACAAAACAAUUAACACCUUAGGUUAAGGCCAAGAGCCUCACGUGCCCACGAUGAAUGGGGGGGGCUUUGGCCGAAGAACCUCCGAUGCCAAAGUUAGAAUUUAGAGAGAAAGAGUGUUCAGAGAAUUUUGGGAUUUUUGCUAAAGUGUUGGAAUCAGUGUUUGGUGAAAAUGGGAGCCUAUUUAUAAGGCUAGGCUGGUCCACUUAAGAGAGCCGGCCAACUUGUGGAUUUUUUGUUGAAUUUGAGGUUUAAUUAGCCAAUUUAUUGGCUAAUAAAUAUGAAAGAAAUAAAUGGGGGGUUAUCAAAUUGAAUGACUAACUUUAUUUGGUAAUAAAGUGGAGAAAAUAAGAAAGGUAAGGAGCAAAGGGAGCUGGCCGGUUUUGACUAGCUUUUGGGAUUAAUUUGGGUGACUUAUUUGAUAUAAUGGGUGAUUAAAUUGGUGAUUAAUGGAUUAAUUAGGAAUUAAUCCAUUAAUUAGCCAAUUAAUCUCUAUUUAUAUGAAAUAAUUUAUAAGUUAUGAAGUAAUUACCUAAGAUGAGGAUGGAUGAGAUAACUUUGAAUUUGUUACCUUUUUUGGGCACUUUUGACUUGGUUUAGGGAUGAUUGCCCGUUGUUCGCGUGUAGGAAUCCCAGUAUGCCUCAAGGGUAUUUUUGUCCUCUUUUACCCAAGAAUCCACGUGUCGCCUUGUGAUUAUUUUUGGCUCCACAGUUACGAUUAUAAUUCUUCUAAUAUAUGAGAGGUAUGAGAUGGCUUAAGCCAAGUUGUGUGACACAUAGUAUUAAGAGUUGUUAUAUUUUUCAUUUCAAGUUGAGGAUUAAGGUUAGCAAAAUGUGCUAGUUAAUCAAUCUUUGGAGCAGAGAAGAGAGUGCAAGAAUAAUCAAAGUAUUCAACACUACUUACAUUCAAUAUGGCGGUGCGCAAUUGUUACUGAUGUGUGUAAAACUUAUUGUAAGAUUAUUCAUACAUUGGGUUUAAACUUGCACAUUUUAACAGUUGUGAAAUUAUAAUGAAGGAAAAUAAAUUGAACGAUACGAAAAUUGGGGAGAGUAGGGAAUCAAACACGUGAUUGUGUGACAAUAAUACUCCUCACUUAACAAAUGAAACUCUAUGAAGAAAUACUUGACAAUGUCAUUUUAUUAGACGUAUAGCAAGACAUGUUAUGUUAUUAUUGUUAACUGAAUUACCUGUUAAAUUUCUCUUUAUAUGUAGUGUUAGAUUUACAAUUUGAAAAAGUUCUAUAUACAGUUUGAAAAUUUUCUCUUUUGGGUAAUUUAAACUUUAAAGUACCUUGUAAGUCAAGGUUUCAAACCUUCCCUGAAGUAAAA
rnacentral:lncRNA from 1 species